UAAUAAAGUGUUUUAUGGCACUUUUUAAAAAAUCCAUAUCCACCUUGUGUGCAAUGUUAGAUCUCGUCAAUCUUCUUGGCGAGGUUUUUAUACAUUAACUCAUUCUUUAACUAAUUUGUCUGAAAAAUAUUAUGAAUAACUUAAUUCAAAAUA
rnacentral:misc_RNA from 1 species